UGGGGAAUUUUGGACAAUGGGGGAAACCCGUGAUCCAGCCAUCCCGCGUGUGCGAUGAAGGCCUUCGGGUUGUAAAGCACUUUUGGCAGGAAAGAAACGUCGCGGGUUAAUACCCCGCGAAACUGACGGUACCUGCAGAAUAAGCACCGGCUAACUACGUGCCAGCAGCCGCGGUAAUACGUAGGGUGCAAGCGUUAAUCGGAAUUACUGGGCGUAAAGCGUGCGCAGGCGGUUCGGAAAGAAAGAUGUGAAAUCCCAGAGCUUAACUUUGGAACUGCAUUUUUAACUACCGGGCUAGAGUGUGUCAGAGGGAGGUGGAAUUCCGCGUGUAGCAGUGAAAUGCGUAGAUAUGCGGAGGAACACCGAUGGCGAAGGCAGCCUCCUGGGAUAACACUGACGCUCAUGCACGAAAGCGUGGGGAGCAAACAGGAUUAGAUACCCUGGUAGUCCACGCCCUAAACGAUGUCAACUAGCUGUUGGGGCCUUCGGGCCUUGGUAGCGCAGCUAACGCGUGAAGUUGACCGCCUGGGGAGUACGGUCGCAAGAUUAAAACUCAAAGGAAUUGACGGGGUCGAU
rnacentral:rRNA from 1 species